UGAUCUUUAGCUCAAAUGGUAGAGCACUUGAGAACACAUCUCAAGCGAUGGUGGUUCAAAUCCUCCAAGAUCUU